AAGGCCCUUCGGGGUACUCGAGUGGCGAACGGGUGAGUACACGUGGGUGAUCUGCCCUGCACUUUGGGAUAAGCCUGGGAAACNGGGUCUAAUACCGAAUAGGNNNNCGCGCUUCAUNGNNNGUGGUGGAAAGCUUUUGCGGUGUGGGAUGGGCCCGCGGCCUAUCAGCUUGUUGGUGGGGUAAUGGCCUACCAAGGCGACGACGGGUAGCCGGCCUGAGAGGGUGACCGGCCACACUGGGACUGAGAUACGGCCCGGACUCCUACGGGAGGCAGCAGUGGGGAAUAUUGCACAAUGGGCGCAAGCCUGAUGCAGCGACGCCGCGUGAGGGAUGACGGCCUUCGGGUUGUAAACCUCUUUCAAUAGGGACGAAGCGCAAGUGACGGUACCUAUAGAAGAAGCACCGGCCAACUACGUGCCAGCAGCCGCGGUAAUACGUAGGGUGCGAGCGUUGUCCGGAAUUACUGGGCGUAAAGAGCUCGUAGGUGGUUUGUCGCGUUGUUCGUGAAAACUCACAGCUUAACUGUGGGCGUGCGGGCGAUACGGGCAGACUAGAGUACUGCAGGGGAGACUGGAAUUCCUGGUGUAGCGGUGGAAUGCGCAGAUAUCAGGAGGAACACCGGUGGCGAAGGCGGGUCUCUGGGCAGUAACUGACGCUGAGGAGCGAAAGCGUGGGGAGCGAACAGGAUUAGAUACCCUGGUAGUCCACGCCGUANACGGUGGGUACUAGGUGUGGGUUCCUUCCUUGGGAUCCGUGCCGUAGCUAACGCAUUAAGUACCCCGCCUGGNGAGUACGNNNGNAAGGCUAAAACUCAAAGGAAUUGACGGGGGCCCGCACAAGCGGCGGAGCAUGUGGAUUAAUUCG
rnacentral:rRNA from 1 species